GCUGGCACCCGCAUCCUUGCACAUUGUAAUAGGUGCACCACCACUCUGCCCCUGUGUUUCAGCUCAUUAUGUUGCACACAUGAAGGAAACUAACCCAUAACUGUCAUUCAGAGAAAUGCAGGGCACUUGGUAACAGAAACUAUAAUAAUACAUCCUGGAACACAAAGAACUGAAGGAUUUUUCUAAUUGUCUGUCUUUCUCUGCACUUGCCUAGUUCAUCUAUCACUGCCAAGAAAGCUGGAUGGUACACACCCAUGGAAAGGGGGGAGAGCACCUGUCUGUGUGCUACCUGGCCCUGUGUCAAAGUGGCUCCUGUGUGAGUCUUCUUUCAGAGGCUGUGAUAUGGGGCAUCUUCAUACUCCUCUGCUCCCAAUACAGGUGGAUAAGGAGAAAGAGAGAACAAUAGCAUUGUUCUACCAUUCAUGGAGCUUCCCCAAGUGCUGUGGUGCUUCCAUGUGGUAUCAGGGUUUAAACCCAGGCACAAUAGCAGCCACCCCCUUCUCUCUUGAUUUCUGGCUGUUUCUAUACAAAAAAUAAAUAAACAUAAGAAGGAGAAGGAGAAGGAGAAGGAGGAGAAGGAGAAGGAGAAGGAGAAGGAGAAGGAGAAGGAGAAGAAGGAGAAGGAGAAGGAGAAGGAGAAGGAGAAGAAGAAGGAGAAGAAGAAAGAUUGAAUUGCCCUUCAGUGAGAUAGUGGAGAAAACAGGCUUAGUAUUCAGAGUAUGGAUUAAAAUUCUGAGUCUAUCACUUCUAGCUCUGUGACUUUGGAGAAGGAAUUUAACUAUUUGGGGCUUCAGUUUCCUUGUCUGUAAAACAAAACUAGUGUUUUCUGCUUGUUUUUUUAAUCUUCAGAAAUUUUUGAGGGUUGAAUGGGUUGAUACAUGUAAACUCCUAAUACAGUUCCUAACCAAAAGGAAAAUUGCAUUUAUUGAGCAUUUCCUGUGUAUUAGGUAUUCUUGUAAUCUUAUAUGAAGCUUUUCUAUUCUUCACAAAAGCCUAUCUUCACAGACUCUGAGGGAAGUUCUACUAUUACCUCCAUUUUACAGGUGAGGAAACUAUGCCACAGAGAAGUCACUUCCUCAAGACCAACUAGUUAGCAGAACUGGAAUUUAAACACUACAAAAUGUUUAAUUUUAAAUUACUACUAAGCAGAACUUAAACUGGAAUUGGCAUAUUGCACAAAAGUAAAAGACUCUGAGGUGUGUGUGUGUGGGAGAAUACAGGUCCAAGGAGGAUGACAGAGGACCUAGUGGGGGUUGUAUUGUUAUAUGGAAAACUGAGAAAUGUUAUGCAUGUACAAACUAUUGUAUUUAAUAUCGAAUGUAAAA